rnacentral:miRNA from 1 species
AGCAGGCAUGUCUUCAUUCCU